CGGGUGAGUAAUGCCUGGGAAAUUGCCCUGAUGUGGGGGAUAACCAUUGGAAACGAUGGCUAAUACCGCAUAAUGUCUACGGACCAAAGAGGGGGACCUUCGGGCCUCUCGCUUCAGGAUAUGCCCAGGUGGGAUUAGCUAGUUGGUGAGGUAAUGGCUCACCAAGGCGACGAUCCCUAGCUGGUCUGAGAGGAUGAUCAGCCACACUGGAACUGAGACACGGUCCAGACUCCUACGGGAGGCAGCAGUGGGGAAUAUUGCACAAUGGGCGCAAGCCUGAUGCAGCCAUGCCGCGUGUAUGAAGAAGGCCUUCGGGUUGUAAAGUACUUUCAGUCGUGAGGAAGGCGUUGAAGUUAAUAGCUUCAUCGUUUGACGUUAGCGACAGAAGAAGCACCGGCUAACUCCGUGCCAGCAGCCGCGGUAAUACGGAGGGUGCGAGCGUUAAUCGGAAUUACUGGGCGUAAAGCGCAUGCAGGUGGUUUGUUAAGUCAGAUGUGAAAGCCCGGGGCUCAACCUCGGAACCGCAUUUGAAACUGGCAGGCUAGAGUACUGUAGAGGGGGGUAGAAUUUCAGGUGUAGCGGUGAAAUGCGUAGAGAUCUGAAGGAAUACCAGUGGCGAAGGCGGCCCCCUGGACAGAUACUGACACUCAGAUGCGAAAGCGUGGGGAGCAAACAGGAUUAGAUACCCUGNNAGUCCACGCCGNAANCGAUGUCUACUUGGAGG
rnacentral:rRNA from 1 species